ACAGGGAGGGAGGACGUCGUCAUGGCGCCGUGGGUUCGUGGUGUCGCUCGGCCGCCAGCGUGGGCCUGCUGAGUGCACAGGGCUGCGGCUGGGCCAGGGCGAAACCGCACUGCUACUCGGGCUGGGCGGAGAGCGGGGAGAGCAGCCCUGUGAUGUGGGGCUCAGCACGAGCCAGCAGAGGCGCAGCAAAUAAAGGAAGGUGGAGAGGAAGACUCUCCCUGUUGCUCGCUGGGUUGAUGGCUCAGCCCAGCAAGGGGUCAGCGUGAAUUAUGCUUCCUGGCCACAAGGAAUUAUGCUUCCAAGACCACAAGGCUCUGCUGUCAAAGGGAUAUCCGCCAAGCAGCGUGGGACAGCUGGGCUCCAUGCGAGCCACAGGGGGGCCCAAAGCAGAAGGCGGGACUGGAUGAUGGCUUUGGGAAUCCCCAGGGAGUCCACCCCCUUUUGGUGACAGCGAUGAGAUACAUCCUGCUGCUCUUCUCUUUGUGUAGGAGAAAUGACAACAGAGUGGGAGGAAACUUCCUGAGCGCUCUGGGAA